rnacentral:rRNA from 1 species
GGUGGGCUACACACGUCAUACAAUGGCUGGUACAGAGGGUUGCCAACCCGCGAGGGGGAGCUAAUCCCAUAAAACCAGUCGUAGUCCGGAUCGCAGUCUGCAACUCGACUGCGUGAAGUCGGAAUCGCUAGUAAUCGCGGAUCAGAAUGUCGCGGUGAAUACGUUCCCGGGUCUUGUACACACCGCCCGUCACACCAUGGGAGCGGGUUCUGCCAGAAGUAGGUAGCCUAACCGUAAGGAGGGCGCUUACCACGGCAGGGUUCGUG